rnacentral:lncRNA from 1 species
GCGGCCGGGCCCGGCCGUGUGAGGGGCUCCCCGACACCAUGGCCCCGGGAGGGCCGGCCUGAGCCUCCGGCCACCGCCGGCGCUGCCGAGGAAGAUGCCAAGAGCCCUCCGGCACUGCCUGCCCUGCGGUCACCCUCGCCCGGGCGCGGUGGCCACCGGAGCUGAGCGAUGGAUUCCUUCUGCUUCGUCUGCUUCCAGAAAGAGGAGCUGCAGCCCCUGCACCUGCACAGGUCAGAGCCGCAAGCCGGGACAGCCCCGGGGGGGACAGCACGGGAGCCCGGCGGGGGGACAGUGCCAAAGUUUCCUUGGGAGCCGGCGCAUCCUCUCCUGGCCAGAGGAGUCCGGAGCCGGUGCUGUGCAGAGCACGUGUGUCCGGCCGGGAUGUGCUUCCCUGGCAGCAGCUCUCCAGGGAGCCCGAUGGGCAUCCCGAGCCGAGCCGUGCCAGCUCAGCGCUGCUGCUGUACCUGGCCAGCAGCGUGUUGCACCCACGGCCUCCCGGAGCCAUCCCAGAACCAUCCCCGAUCCACCCGGAGCCAUCCCACCCACCUCGGCUCACCGGGGCAGGGUCCCUGGGCAGUGCCUGCUCCUCCGUGCCCGGCUGGUGCCGGGGGCCCAGUGCAGCUGGGGGGUCCCCAAGGAGAGCCACGAGGCUCCCCUAGGCCUGUCCCCCUGGGCAGCAGCACCGGCGCUCGCCUCCCCCUUCCCCGAAAUCUCCUCUCCCAUCGGCGCUGCUGACAGCCAGGGGGAAGGUGGCGGUGCCGGAAUUAGCCGGGCAGCCGGCAGAAUGCGAGGUGUGAAUGCUGGCACAUGUUGUGCCCAACUGCUCCUCCGUGGCACCGAGCCACUGCCGGCUCCUGGCCCACGCUGCCAGCCCCGGGCACAGCCCCUGCCCGCUCCAGCCAGGAGCCCUCCAGACACUGGCUGUCCCCAGAGAGGUCUGGGGGAGCCUCAGGGCCAUCAGCUGGAUCAAUCUAUGCAGUCUGUCCUUCCUGCCGGGUUGCAGGAAGCUGUAGGAUUUGUUUUGGUGUAAGUCAUGAGUUUAUAGAGCCUCAGUUCCCGUGAGUCAGUGCCCAGGUGGGGGAACAGGGGUACCGGGGGUCGAGAGGGUCCAGAUGUGGGUGCUGCUGGCUGGGGGGGUGCACAGAAUUCCCAGGGCUGCUGUCCCACAGCCCAACUCGGGCUCGGAGCUGACCAGAGGCAUCCAGCCUGUGUCAGGCCACAGGUGGCAUGAGUUUGGCAUCCUCAGCCAGGGAGGGAGCAGCCGGGGUGGCAGUGUGGUGGCCCGUGGUCCCGCGGGGUGGCUGCAGGGACGGCGAG